rnacentral:lncRNA from 1 species
GUGGAAGAAAUGUGGGCUUGUCAGAGCUCAUCUACCACAACCUGACUGUGGAGAAGGAGUAAACCCCUAAAUCAUCUUUGGAGAUCUGCUUUUCUUGUGACUAUGAAAGAGGAAGUAUCUCUGGCAACGAACGUGGCAAUGAGUACCUUUCUCAUCUCCCUGCAAAGCUAGAGUCCUCAUGUCAAAAUAUGACCAACUUACUUUUAGGCAGGUAUAGACUUCCAAUAAUCUUUUGUCAUUGCAAGAAUACUUUUCUGGGUAUUGAUGUCUGUCUUUAGGGAUAUAGUUAAGAACUAUGUUCUCAAUUUAUAGAAGUCUUUUUUUAACCAGUUUGUAAAUCUGGUUAAAAGAUUUUUUAUGCUAGAAAAUUUCCUGGAAGUUCUGGCCCAUACAGAUACUCUCUAAAUACCUCUCUUUUACAGUCAAUAGAAAAAUUAUCUGAGGUUUAAAAAAAUAACAUAUUUUUCUUUUAACAUGAUAGUUGUUUGUAGAUAUACCAAACAGAAGUUAAAACCCAGUUUAGAUGGUCUAGUUAACCUAGGGACUGUCAUUGGUAAAUCUAUUUUUGCCAAAUGAUUUAGCUUUUGUAACCAAAAACAAAAAUCAUUAAAUAAAGUCAAAAGGCAAAAUAACA